UACGUAGGGUGCGAGCGUUGUCCGGAAUUACUGGGCGUAAAGAGCUCGUAGGCGGUUUGUCGCGUCGUCCGUGAAAACUUGGGGCUCAACCCCAAGCUUGCGGGCGAUACGGGCAGACUUGAGUACUGCAGGGGAGACUGGAAUUCCUGGUGUAGCGGUGAAAUGCGUAGAUAUCAGGAGGAACACCGGCGGUGUAGACGGCUUGCUAGACCACCCCUGACGCUGAGGCACGAAAGCGUGGGUAGCAAACAGG
rnacentral:rRNA from 1 species